UACGUAGGCAGCGAGCGUUGUUCGGAAUUACUGGGCGUAAAGAGUGUGUAGGCGGUGCUCUAAGUUCGGUGUGAAAUCUCCCGGCUUAACUGGGAGGGUGCGCCGGAAACUGGAGUGCUCGAGCGUGGGAGAGGAAAGCGGAAUUCCUGGUGUAGCGGUGAAAUGCGUAGAUAUCAGGAGGAACACCUGCGGUGUAGACGGCUUUCUGGACCAGUGCUGACGCUGAGACACGAAAGCGUGGGUAGCAAACAGG
rnacentral:rRNA from 1 species